rnacentral:piRNA from 1 species
GCCCCAUGUAGUGGCAAAAGCCUACCUGC